rnacentral:rRNA from 1 species
AUGGACACCGCGCCUGUCUUCGUCGCCACCAGCAGGAGCAGGAGCCCCAUGGCUUUCACCGCCGUCCUGCCUACUCCGUUGGAGCUCCCCGCCGCCGGAUCAGGAGCUCCGCCUCCCUGCUUCGCCACGCCUACGCCGGACCAGCUCAUCGAAGCUCUCAACGCCGGCGAUCUCCAGGAACUUUUUCCUCGCGCCUCUUCUUCCUUCUCUUUCUCUCCUCUACCUCUGAUCUCUCUCUUGUUCUAUGUAACAGGAGACCACCUCAUGGCCGCCGAACCCUUGCUUCGCCUCGGUUCCCACCUGAGACGUCGUCCAGCGCCCGGAUCAGCACCUCCCUCCGUUCCCUGCAUCGUUGCAUCGCCCGGAUCAGCGCCUCGGUUCCCAUGCACCUCUGGUGCUUGCUGCAUGGAUGCCAAGGCCGUCGUUGCCUUUGCCCAGUGUUUCCGCCACUGGAGCGGGCACCACAUACGCAAACCCGCUUCCUUCGGACGUGACCGGUUCUUUUUGUCCUCGACACUGUUGAUGGAAGCCUCUUGUGUUGUUUCGUAUUUGGGUCAUGUCAAGUUUGUUUCCAAGACCCUUUCGUGGAGUGUCGUCUAG